rnacentral:rRNA from 1 species
CACGUAGGGUGCGAGCGUUGUCCGGAAUUAUUGGGCGUAAAGAGCUCGUAGGCGGUGUGUCGCGUCGGCCGUGAAAACCUGCAGCUUAACUGUGGGCUUGCGGACGAUACGGGCAUCACUGGAGUUCGGCAGGGGAGACUGGAAUUCCUGGUGUAGCGGUGAAAUGCGCAGAUAUCAGGAGGAACACCGGUGGCGAAGGCGGGUCUCUGGGCCGAUACUGACGCUGAGGAGCGAAAGCGUGGGGAGCAAACAGG